CCCGCCGCAGAAACCCGACGCUGAUGCCGGGCUCAGCCAGCCUCAGUUUCCUCAUCUGUAAAACAUCCUGUUGGGAAACAAGGGGCAGGAUUCAGCGUUUGGCCGAGGGUCCUGCGCUAUCUGCACACAGUGAAUGCGUUUCCAGCCCAACGGAAGUUGGAAACUUGCAGGCGCCCCUGGGGGAUGAAGGAAGGCCUGAGGAGCCUGGAGUCCCAGGCGGCAGAAGGCGCUGGGCGCUUCCCGCGGGCAGGACCGAGGGCUGCCUGAGGUUAUCCCUCACACAUCCGGCCGUGGAGCCACAGGUAACCAGCCCGCCCGCCCGGAGCUGCCAGUUGGCUCAAGAGCGACGCGAAGGCCCGGCUGCGGCCCCUCAAGGUAACAGUUCCACGUGGAGGCCAGGAAACUUUGCGCGCCCCGGAGGAGGUCCCCGCAGCAGAGGGGCGCACCCGUCUGUGGCCGCGAGGGGGGCCGCGCAGCCGAGCCGGGGAACUCAGCCCCACGGCCCCGCCACGGGACGAG
rnacentral:lncRNA from 1 species